CUGCCCAGUGACAAAAUUAAACGGCCACGGUACCCUAACCGCGCGAAGGUAGCAUAAUCACUUGUUCUCUAAAUAAGGACUUGUAUCAACGGCAUUACGAGGGUUAUACUGUCUCCUUUCUCUAAUCAGUGAAACUAAUCCCCCCGUGAAGAAGCGGGGAUACUACUAUAAGACGAGAAGACCCCAUGGAGCUUUAAACCCAACUACACCCCCACCUCUAACAACCACUUAACCAACGGGACACUGUAUGCUUGGUUUUAGGUUGGGGCGACCACGGAGUAAAAAACAACCUCCACGAUGAACGGGCCCACCCCCUUAUCUAAGAGCCACACCUCUAAGAAUUAGAACACUAACAUAAAAUGAUCCUUUCUUGAUCAACGAACCAAGUUACCCUGGGGAUAACAGCGCAAUCCAUUUUGAGAGCCCAUAUCGACAAAUGGGUUUACGACCUCGAUGUUGGAUCAGAUAUCCUGGUGGUGCAGCAGCUACCAACGGUUCGUUUGUUCACGAUUAAAAUCCU
rnacentral:rRNA from 1 species